rnacentral:rRNA from 1 species
GAUGAACGCUGGCGGCGUGCCUAAUACAUGCGAGUCGAGCGAACAGACGAGGAGCUUGCUCCUCUGACGUUAGCGGCGGACGGGUGAGUAACACGUGGAUAACCUACCUAUAAGACUGGGAUAACUUCGGGAAACCGGAGCUAAUACCGGAUAAUAUAUUGAACCGCAUGGUUCAAUAGUGAAAGACGGUUUUGCUGUCACUUAUAGAUGGAUCCGCGCCGCAUUAGCUAGUUGGUAAGGUAACGGCUUACCAAGGCAACGAUGCGUAGCCGACCUGAGAGGGUGAUCGGCCACACUGGAACUGAGACACGGUCCAGACUCCUACGGGAGGCAGCAGUAGGGAAUCUUCCGCAAUGGGCGAAAGCCUGACGGAGCAACGCCGCGUGAGUGAUGAAGGUCUUCGGAUCGUAAAACUCUGUUAUUUGGGAAGAACAAAUGUGUAAGUAACUAUGCACGUCUUGACGGUACCUAAUCAGAAAGCCACGGCUAACUACGUG